UUAAGUUCAGCGGGUAUCCCUACCUGAUCCGAGGUCAAACCAUAGUAAAAUAGGUGGUUGUUCGCCUGGCGGGCGGCACCACGCGCUCCGAAGCGGUGAAUUGACUACGCUGGGAGGCGGGCACCACUGCCUACGGGUUUCUGGCGCGCCCUCGCGGACGGCGCCCAAGACCAAGCGUGAGCUUGAGGUUUGAAAUGACG
rnacentral:misc_RNA from 1 species